GAUGCAGCAAAUGACUGAACAAAAAGAGCCACCUUGAAGUAUCCCAUGACGUCAAAAGGAAUGUGUGAGGCAUGUGCUCUCAUGGGAAGAGGAAGAUCAAGGUCCAAGGGUUCCAUCUGGAGUUUGUGGAGAGAGUUGUUCAUGACCACACCCCUCAGACCAUCCAUACCAACUACAGCUCUGAGACUCUGUGGUACCACACACCUCUCUUUGAACACAUCAACCAGGCAGUCACCUCCACUGUGUCUCUGAGAGUGGCCAAUCAGACACUGGCCUGCUCAUCACAGCUCACCUACCAUCCCGACCCAGAAUUCACCAGCUACACCGCAAUCAAGACAGGAAAUGACCUGCGUGUCACCAUUGAGAAAAGGGCUGACAAGUUGAACAUCACCACAGAAGAGAUCUUAGUGUUUGGUGUUCAGGAGGAGAACCAGGAUGUAGAGUGUGUCAUGGACACCAUCCAGACGAGCAACGAGACUGACUCUGUCAUCUGUGAGAUAAAGAACACUCACAACGCUAACAUCAAGUCAGUGAAGAUAAGAGUUGGCAAUGUCACAAUAAACCUUGAUUCAACGCACACGGUACUGCUAAGACUCUUUCUGCUUAUACCCAUCAUCACUAUAGUCAUCGUUGUAUUCCUUAUCCUGCUGGGGAUCGCAAUGGCCAAACUUGUUAUUCAUUUCCUUGAUCUGCAUCACUGA
rnacentral:lncRNA from 8 species